UACGUAGGGUGCAAGCGUUGUCCGGAAUUAUUGGGCGUAAAGAGCUCGUAGGCGGUUUGUCGCGUCUGCUGUGAAAACUCGGGGCUUAACCCCGGGCCUGCAGUGGGUACGGGCAGACUAGAGUGCGGUAGGGGAGGCUGGAAUUCCUGGUGUAGCGGUGAAAUGCGCAGAUAUCAGGAGGAACACCGGUGGCGAAGGCGGGUCUCUGGGCCGUAACUGACGCUGAGGAGCGAAAGCGUGGGGAGCGAGCAGG
rnacentral:rRNA from 1 species